GGAUUGUGGCUCAGUGGUAGAGCGCUCACCUAGCAAGUGCGAGGUCCUAUGUUCGAUCCUCAGCACCA
rnacentral:tRNA from 1 species